AUGUCUCACUUUGUAUCACUGUGGUACACGUUCGGUGCAGGAACCAGACUGGAGUUUGGAAGUGACGCCCGUCCCACCCUGACGGUGCUGCCCCCCUCCAGUGAGGAGCUGCAGCAGGAGAAGGUCACAGUCCUGUGCCUGGCCAACAAGGGCUUCCCCUCAGACUGGAGUCUGGCCUGGAAGGUGGAGGGCAGCAGCAGCAGCAGCAGCUGGGAGGAGAGCAGGAGCCCCGGGGUGCUGGAGAAGGACGGCCUCUACAGCUGGAGCAGCACCCUGAGGCUCCCUGCAGACCAGUGGAGCAAGUUGGGCUCUGUGACCUGUGAGGCCACCCAGGGCUCCCAGACUCCGCUCUCAGAGACACUGAGGAGAGACCAGUGUUCCCAGUCCUGACCUGACUCACUGGGACUCUGCUAAUGGUUUUACUCUGCUCCUGCUCUCUCUCUGCUCUCUGUAACACUGUCUCUCUCUCUCUCUUUCUCUCUCUCUCUUUCUCAUGUUCUGUCUUUAUCUCUGAUAUGUUUGCUAGUUUUCUCUAAUGUUUGUAAUUUCACUAUUUUCAGAAAAUAAAGAUCUGUUCAUCA